UGCCAUUAUAGAAUGAUAUCCACAUACCGACGUAGUAAUGUUACCAUUAUUCUAUUUUGAUUCAUACAUUAUUAUUUUCCAAGCAGAGAUUAGAGAGUGCCGUCCUUCCUGCACCACUGAUAAGGAAAAACCACAUCGGAAAAUCCCGAUGAUCUUUCUCGGCCAAUGCAAGGAUCGAACACGCGAUCCCCAGGCCAGCGAGCCUAACGUGGCUCCCAUACAUUCAUAGGGCAGAUGAACCGAGAUCAAUAUUUACAGAAAUACUUACAGAAUCAGACAUGGUAGCUGGAUAUAAUAAAAUGUAAUAAUGGAUGAGAUUAAUAAGCUGUAGAUAAAGCUCUGUGGUCAA